rnacentral:misc_RNA from 1 species
GGAAGUAAAAGUCGUAACAAGAUCUCCGUUGGUGAACCAGCGGAGGGAUCAUUACAGAGUUGCAAAACUCCCAAACCAUUGUGAACGUUACCUAUCCCGUUGCUUCGGCGGGCGGCCCGGGCCCCGCGCCCGGCGCCCCCCGGCCCCCCGUGGGCGCCCGCCGGAGGUAAACCAAACCCUUGAAUUGCAUGGCCUCUCUGAGUCUUCUGUACUGAAUAAGUCAAAACUUUCAACAACGGAUUUCUUGGUUCUG